GACAGAGGGUGCAAACGUUGUUCGGAAUUACUGGGCGUAAGGCGCGUGUAGGUGGCGAGGCAAGUCGGGUGUGAAAGCCCUGGGCUCAACCCAGGAAGUGCACUCGAUACUGCCUAGCUAGAGUCCCGGAGAGGUUGGUGGAACUCUCGGUGUAGAGGUGAAAUUCGUAGAUAUCGAGAGGAACACCGAUGGCGAAGGCAGCUCGCUGGGACGGUACUGACGCUGAGGCGCGAAAGCGUGGGGAGCAAACAGG
rnacentral:rRNA from 1 species